rnacentral:rRNA from 1 species
AAUGAACGCUGGCGGCGUGCUUAACACAUGCAAGUCGAGCGAGGCCUGGGGGGCAACUCCCAGAGUCGAGCGGCGGACGGGUGAGUAACACGUGGGUAACCUGCCCGGAAGUGGGGAAUACCUCGGGAAACUCGAGCUAAUACCGCAUGACAUCUCCGGGACGAAAGUCCUGGCGAUCAAAGCGGGGUCGCAAGAUCUCGCGCUACCGGAUGGGCCCGCGCCCGAUUAGCUAGNGGUGAGGUAACGGCUCACCAAGGCUUCGAUCGGUAACCGGCCUGAGAGGGGCGGA